CUGUCUUUCUGUCUUUCUGUCUUUCUGUCUUUCUGUCUUUCUGUCUUUUGUUAUUUACUUCAAAGGUUAGAACAUCAGAAAGGGAAGGGGAGAGAGACAGAUACAGACAGACCAAAAGAGAGUGAAACUUGUCUUUCAUCUAGGAGAGGGAGGGAGGGAGAGAGAGAGAGAGAGAGAGAGAUAUCUUCUGUCUGCUGGUUGAUACCCACCAAAUAACUGUGAAAGCCAUGGCUGGGGCAAGUUGAAAUGAGAGCCAGGAACUCCAUCUGAGUCUCCCACAUAGGGUAACAGGGGCCCUAGCACUUGGGCUAUAAUCUGCUGCCUUCCCAGGCACAUUAGCAGGAGGCUAGAAUGGAAGAAGAGGACCUUGGACUUAAACUGGUACUUUGAUAUUGAAUAGCAGCUUUGCAAACAGUGGCUUCAUUCACUGCUACAGUGAAUGAGGUACCACAUUAUUUUUAUCCACUGAUGGAUAUUUAGGUUGAUUCCAUAUCCUGGCUGUUACGAAUUGUGAUGUGAUAAACAUGGGAGCACAGUUUUUUUUUUUUUUUCUUGAGAUGCUGAUUUCAUUGCCUGUGAGUAUAUACCUGGUUGUGGGCUUAAUGGAUUGUAUGGUAUUUCUGUUUUUAAUUUUUUGAUGAGCCUUCAUCCUUCAUAUUGUUUUCCUUAAUGGUUGUACUUUCCACCAACAAGAUAUGGGGGUUCUUCUUUCUCUACAUCCUUGAUGGGACUUAUUUUUUGUCUUUUGGAUAACAGUUACUGUAACUGGGGUGAUAGGGUAUUGAUUUGCAUUUCCCUGAUGAUGAGAAAUGUUGAACAUCUUUUUGUUUGUUGGCCAUCUGUAUGUCUUUGGAGAAACGUGUAUUCAGAUCUUUAGCAUAUUUUAAGAUUGAGUUAUGGGGCUGGCACUGUGGUGUAGUGGGUAAAAGCCAUCACCUACAGUGCCAGCAUCCCAUAUGGGCGCCGAUUCGAGUCCCAGCUGCUCCACUUCCGAUCCAGCUCUCUGCUAUGGCCUGGGAAAGCAGUAGAAGAUGGCCCAAGUCCUUGGGCCCCUGCAGCUGUGUGGGAGACCUGGAAGAAGCUCCUGGCUCCUGGUUUAGGAUUGGCACAGCUCCAGCCGUUGCAGCCAAUUGGGGAGUGAACCAGCAGAUGGAAGACCUCCCUGCCUCCCUCCCUCUCUCGCUCCUUCCUUCUUUCCUUCCUUCCCUCUCUCUCUCUCUGCCUCUCCUUCUCUCUCUGUGUAACUCUGACUUUCAAGUAAAUAAAUAAAUCUUAAAAAAAAAGAUUGAAUUACUUGAUUUUUCCAAUUGAAUUUCCUUAUAUACUCUGAAUAUUAACGCCAUGUCAAGGUGCAUAGUUUGGUAGUCUCUCUUUGCUGAUUGUUUCCUCCAUUGCACAGAAGGCUUUUAGUUUGAUGUGUUCUCACUUUUCAGUUUUUGCUUUUAUUGCUGGAGAAUUUGGCGUUAUUUCCCAAGAAUCUUCAUGCAGGCCUGUGUCCUGAAGCAUUUCCCUUGUGCUGUCUUCUAAUGAUUGCUUAAGUCUUUUAUGUAGAUCUUUAAUUUACUUUGAGUUGAUUUUUUGUGCAUGAUGAGAGGUAGAGGACUAGUUUUCUUCUUCACAUGUAUAUAGUCUGUUUCCCCAGGACUGUUUAUUGAAGAUCAUCCUUUCUCCAUUUUGUGUUCUUGGUUCUUUUGUCAAAAAUCAGUUGGCUAUAAAUGAGUGUGGUUGUUUCUGUGGUGUCCUAUUCUGUUGGUGUGUGUCUACUUUCAUGUUGAUAGCAUGCUGUUUUGAUUAUUUUAGCAUUGCAGUAUAUCUUGACAUUGAUAAUGUGUUGCCCCCAACUUUUGUAUUUUGUUCAAGAUUGCUUUAGCUGUUUGGGAUCUUCAGUGAUUCGAUGUGGAUUACAAGAUUGUGUUUUCUAGUUCCGUAUUGAGUGACAUUGAUAUUUUUGUUGUAGCAUGGUAGGAUUCAGGUUCUUGUCUCUAAUGCAGGAAAGAAUUUGAGGAUCAGAUGGAGGUAAAGGUCAGCAGAGAAGACUUACCUGCAGGCAAAGUGAAAUACACACUCAAGAGGGAGCUGUAAUCAACUAGGUUCCAGGUUGUCCUUUAUAUAUUUUGGAGUCAUAGGGGGUGGUGUCUGGGAUAGGGUUUAAUUGAAAAUUCUUAGGGAUGUAGUUUGGGCAGGAUUUGAGGAUUACCCAUUUUCUUGCCCUUUUUUGGAAAUCUUGGAACUGUCAUGACAUCAGGUGCAUCAUGAGACAGAAGCAUCAGCCAUGCUAAUUUUAUUUUAAUGACAUUGUAAUUAGGUACGAGAUCAUUGUUGGGAUGCAAACAGCAGGACAUGUUGGUUAAUUUUGGCAAGUAGUGAUUUCAUGGAAGCCCUGGUUUUCUACUGCAUGGGAGGGGAGUGGAGUGGGGGUGGAGCUGAAGGGAGAGGCUGGUGAUCUGAACGGACUGUGGGGAGAGGCCAGGAGAAAUGAGGGAGGAAUAUUGUUGGAAGAAAAUUUAGGGAAACAUACCGGGUAGAGAAAAAUGUUAGGGGGGAUGAAGCCGCCGCGUGCAGAGAGAGCACGGGGCGUGAAUAGAUAGGGAACGCGGGGCUGGCGCGAAGGCUGUGGUGCGGGCGUGAAGGGCGUGGAGACCACGGAGUGUGCGCGCGAAGCCGAGCCGCGCAGAGCCGGGAGCCCGCCGCAGGGCGGGCGGCGGGAAGCCGUGCAGAUGAGAGAAGUGCGGGCUGAAGCGACGCAAAGCCGGGCGGGCGCCGGCGGGGCGCCGGGAAGCCACGCAGAGCCGUGAAGCUGCCGCGGGGCGAGGUGCCGAGAAGCAGCCUCGGGGCGGGCGCCCGGAAGCCGCAGGGAUAAGAGAAACAGAAGUUUAGAAGUAAAAUGAGAGAAAUAGGAAUGCUGGCAGAUAGAAGUAAAAUAGGAGAGAUAGGAAUGCCCGGAGGUAGAGAAAUAGAGAAAAAUAAGGCCUCCCCUCAACAUGGCAAUGAGAGAGCUUGGAUUCGGUCUGCCUGAUUAGGGAGGUGGUGAGCACCAGCGGGCGGCUAGCAGCUUAUGCGCCACAGGUCACCGAAGACAGGCACGAAUCAACACCAAUAAGUCUCCCCACAAUACGGCAAUGAGAGGGCUUGGAUUCGGUUUGCCUGAUUGAUAGGGCUUGUAAGCACCUGCAAGCAGUUCUAGCAGAACAGAGCAUGCGCUGCAGGGCACCGAACACAGGCACGCAUCAGUGCCUAGAAACCUCCUCACAACAUGGCGAAGAGAGGACCCGGAUUCGGUUUGCCUGAUUGGUAGGCUUGUAAGCACCUGUGGGCAACUCUAGCAAGCAGAGCAGAGUGUGUGCCGCGGGACACCGAAGACAGGCGCGUAUGAACGCCAAAAAUAAAAAGAAAGGGGGAUCUGUGGGGAGCAACUCGGACUAGACUAAGUUACUGGAAUUAAGACUUAUUCUAUGCAUCUGCUUUCCCACAAUAUGGCGCUGGGAGAGGAAGAAACAGCUUCUACACAGCUGCCUCCAGUUCAACCAAUAAACUGUAGGACUUGCUCCUGAUUGGAGGAGAGCAGCGUACUCAGCGUGUGGGUAGCAGAGUUGGGAUUGGCGGAAGAGGACUAUAAAGGAGGAGAGAGACAACAUGCACCAGGAACAUCUAAGGGGAACAUCUAUCUGAAGGAACACCUGAGCAGCCCCCGAGAGAGCCGGCCGGCGGUGUGCCGCUCCCCUGCGGAAGUGGGGAAAGUGGCUAGGGGGAACCGCCCUUCCACGGAGGUGGAAGGGACGGUAGCCAACCCGGGAAGAACCAGCAGCAAACCCGGGGAGGGCCGAGCAGACGAAAGAACAACGCAGGGUCCUGUGUCGUUCCUCCACGAAGAGGGGGAGCGACAGAGGACUAUCUUGCAGUUUUCCUGUUUAGUAUGAUACUAGAUGUGGAUAUGUUAUGGCUUUUGUUAUAUAAAAUACCAGUUGAUUUCUCCAUAAUCUUGAGAGUUAUUUGUACCUAUGGUCCUUGCUAAGUGGGAGAGAAGUCAACAAGAGGUCUUAGACUGUGGUUCAGGAAUUGUUGUAGGAAGCGCCCCCUGUUGAUGUCCAUCAUGCUAAGCUGUCAUGAGAUGAUCCCGGCGCUUUAAUAGAAAGUCUAUUAGGGCCGACAGCUAUGGCGCAGCGAGUUAAUGCCCUGACCUGAAGCGCCGGCAUCCCAUAUGGGCGCUGGUUCGAGACCCGGCUGCUCCACUUCCAAUCCACUCUCUGCUGUGGCCUGGGAAAGCAGCAGAAGACAGCCGAUCAGGAGCCAGGAGCCAGGCGCUUCUUCUUGGUCUCCCAUGCGGGUGCAGGGCCCAAGCACUUGGGCCAUCCUCCACUGCACUCCUGGGCCACAGCAGAGAGCUGGACGGAAAGAGGAGCAACCAGGACAGAAUCCAGCACCCCAACUGGGACUAGAACCCAGGGUGCCAGCGCCACAGGUGGAGGAUUAGCCAAGUGAGCCAUGGUGCUGGCCAAAUUUCCAGUUUUGAUAUCUGCUUUUUUCAUGAGUAAAAGAGACCUUUAAAAUAUAUAAAGCUAAUUAAAAAAAAACUUUUUUAAAGAUUUAUUUGAAAGAGUUACACAGAGAGGAGAGGCAGACAGAGAGAGAGGUCUUCCAUCUGCUGGUUUACUCCCCAGAUGGCCACAGUAGCCGGAGCUGCCCCGAUCCGAAGCCAGGAGCCAAGAGCUUCUUCCGGGUCUCCCACGUGGGUACAGGGGCCCAAGGACUUGGGCCAUCUUCUUCUGCUAUCCCAACCCAUAGCAGAGAGCUGUGGAUGUCGGCGCUCCAGGCCAGGGCUUUAACCCGUUGUGCCACAAUGCCGGCCCCAAAUCUAAUUUUUAAUUUUUUUUUUUUAAUUUAUUUUUGAUAGGCAGAGUGGACAGUGAGAGAGAGAGACAGAGAGAGAAAGGUCUUCCUUUGCCGUUGGUUCACCCUCCAAUGGCCGCCGCUGCAGCCGGCGCACCGCGUUGAUCCGAUGGCAGGAGCCAGGAUCCAGGUGCUUUUCCUGGUCUCCCAUGGGGUGCAGGGCCCAAGCACCUGGGCCAUCCUCCACUGCACUCCCUGGCCAUAGCAGAGAGCUGGCCUGGAAGAGGGGCAACCGGGACAGAAUCCGGCGCCCCGACCGGGACUAGAACCCGGUGUGCCGGCGCUGCAAGGUGGAGGAUUAGCCUAUUGAGCCACGGCGCCGGCCCCCAAAUCUAAUUUUUAAAAAGAUUUAUUUGAAAGGCAGAGUGACAGCGAAAGCGGGAAAGACAGAGAAAGAGAUCUUCCUUCGGCUGGUUCACUUCCGAAAUGCCAGCAACAGCCAGGGCUGGGUCUGUGUUGUAGCCAAGAACCUGAGACUUCAUCUGGGUCUCCUGCCUGUAUGGCAGGGGCUGGAUCUGCUGCCUCCCAGAAUGAAUACAAAGGCAAGCUGCGGGGACUCAAACCAGAUGCUGUUUUAUGCCAUAUCACCUGGCCCCUUAAUUCAGACCUUUGAGAUGUCUUUGUUAAUGGUAGCUUAGAAUUAAUUGUGCAAGUUUCCACACAAGGCUUUUCUUAAUAGUUGCUUAUAAACUUCUGCAGAUGACCUAGGUGAAAGCUUCUCUUUAUUCAUGCAGUUAAUUGAAACCAGAGUGGUGUUUUCUUUAUUUUUUCUAUGGUUAAAUAUACAUAAAAUUUAUUAUUUUAACUGUAUAAUUCAAUGAUGUUAAGUACAUUCAUACUGUUGUGCAACCACCACCAUCACUCAUCUCCAGAAUUUUUUCUUAAUCCCAAUGUAAAACUCUAUCCUUAGAACCAGAGCUUUUUUUUUUUUUUUUUUUUUUUUUUGGCUUGACAUUGUUAUAGACUUACUUGAUUUUCAGUUUUUUAAGUGAGAAAAAAUUUAUCCCACUCUUAUUUCCAGCACUUGUAAUAUAUGAAUUGAUGCUGCUUACUCAGUGUUGUUAAAAUGUUUGUAGUAAAGUAUAUCUUUGUGAAGGUUUCCAGUUAGCUUAUUUCAUAUAAACUUAAGAGAAAGCUUUAAUAGCAGCAAAAUAUUAUGGAUACCUCCUCAGAGAUGAUUGUAAGUAAUUUAAUGUACCUCAGUUUUGUUUUAAAUUCUCUUUAGAAAAAUUUAUCUCAUGGAGCUGGCAUUGUGGCGCAGUGGGCUAAGCUGCUACCUGUGACGCUGGCAUCCAUAUGAGCAUGGUUUCAGUCCCGACUGCUUCCCUUGUGAUCCAGCUCCCUGCUAAUGUGCCUGGGAAGGCAGUGGAAGAUGGGCUAACUGCUUGGGCCCCUGAACCCAUGUGGGACCCCUGGGUGAAACUCUUGGCUUUGGACUGGCCCAGUCUUGGUCAUUGCAGCCAUUUGGGGAGUGAACCAGCAGAUGGAAGAUCCAUUCACCCUCUCUCUCCCACACUUUUCCUUCUCUCUGUAACUCUGCCUUUAAAAUAAAUGGAUAAAUCUUAAAAAUAAAUGACUCUUGAAGCCAUUUGGGGAUUAAAGAUCCCCCCAGUGCUACCCCUGCCUGGCCACUCUGCCUUCAAAAUAAAUAAAUAAGUCUUGGGGCUGGGAUUGUGGCGUAGUGGUAAAGCUGUCACCUGUGAUGCCCAAAUCCCAUAUGGGCACUGGUUUGAGUCCUGGCUGCAACACUUCUGAAGAAGCUCCAGGCUCCUGGCUUUGGCCUUGUCCAUCCUUGGUUGCUGCAGCCACUGGGAGUGAACCAUCGGAUGGAAGGCCUCUCUCUCUCUCUCUGUAACUCAGCCUUUGAAGUAAAUAAAAUAAAUCUUAAGGAGAUAUUUCAUCUCUCUCAUCAUAACAUAAUUGUUAUAUAAUAUGUGUUAUCUUUAUAAUACAGUGUUCUUGAAUUUCUUGUAAUAUUUGGUCAUAGCAUCCAUCUUUGGUUUUGGGCACUUUUUAAAAAUGUGAGAAUGAAUUUAGGAUAUAUCAUCAUCAAACUCAAAGCUUUAUUGGGGAAGACUUUUGGCAUGAUGCUUAAGACACCUGCAUCCCAUAUUGAAGGGCCUGGGUUCGAUACCUGGCUCUAGCUCCUUACUUGCUGUGCACCCUGGGAGACAGCAGGUGAUGUCCUUAGUAGUUGGGUCCUUGCCACCCACAGAAGAGACUUGUAUUUAGUUCCCUGCUCCUAGCAUUGUAGGCAUUUGGGGAACAAAGCAGCAGAUGCUGAGCUCUCUGUUGCUUUCUGCCUUUCAAAUAAGUAAAUACAGUUUUAAAAACUACUGUUUAGGGGUUGGCAUUGUGGCAUAGCUGGUAAAGCUGCUGCCUGUGAUGCUGGCAUCCCAUACAGACACCAGUUCAUGUCUUGGCUGCUCCACUCCCCAUCCAGCUCCCUGCUAAUGGCCUGGGAAGGGGGAUGAUGGUCCAAGGGCUUGGGCCCCUGCCAUCCGCAUGGGGAUGUUAGAGGUGAGAUCAGAGACACAAGUAAGUUGUAUGGGUAUGAGAGACUUUGUCUUGUAGCAGAAGGUUUUCAGAUAUUAGUGUGUGUAAGGCUCAUCUGGAUUAAAGAUUCUUUGGCGCCGCUUUGAGAGAUUCUGAGCUGCACCUCUUAGGAAUCCAGGAUGUCUGAUGCAGGAAGUGAGGUACAAGGUCUUGAUGUGUUCUUCUGAGCUCCUACUUGUUAGGAAGAACAGUAGUGAAGGUUGUUCAUUAGGAGACUGACACUGGACAAGCUGCUCCAAGAAGAAUUAUUUGGAAUGUAUUACGAGGAAGAAAAGUAGUUGAGGUAAGCUAGGAGGCUAUCGUAGCAAAUAGUUUGCAUUUGGAACUCUGUCUAGAAAUGAUUUGAAUUGCUGACAUUUCAGACUUAGGGUAUAGAAAUUGGAAGAGAGAUAAUCAGACUAGUAAUUUGAAACUGGAAAUAGUGAAACUCCUGAUGGGAUAAAGGCCAUGAAGAGUGAGGUAGCGUAAAAUAAGUUGCAUUAAGUUUUAGGAAAUGCAAAUAGCUGAUCUCUGUCUUAGUCUGUUCCAGCUGCUUUAAACGACAGACAUUCAUUAGUCACAGUUGUAAAAGUUGGAAGGCCUAGAUCAGGGUGCCGGCAUGGUCAGGUUCUGGUGAGGGCUUUCCAGAUGCCUGAGAAAGAGCCAUGUUGUCAAUGUCUCUUCAUCAGGAUUCCUAAUUCCAUUCCUAAUUCAUGAAUUCCUAAUUCGUGAAUUUAUCUCCUCAUGAAUUUAUCUCCCAUGGGUCUCACUUCCAAAUACUGUCGCGUUCAGGGUUAGGGCUUUACUAUACAAAUUUUGCAGGGUGCAGCAUAGUUUAGUGCUUAUCGGUCAAUAAAACAUUUGGACAGGGGCCAGUGUUGCAGUACAGUGGGUUAAGCCUCCACCUGUGAUGCCAGCAUCUCAUAUGAGCACCCGUUUGAGUCCGGAUUACUUCACUUUGAUUCCUGCACCUUACUAAUGCACACCCUAUGGAGCAACAGAUGAUGACCCCAGUACUUGAGCCUCUGCCACCCACAUGGGAGAUUUGGAUGAAGCUCCUGGCUUUGGCCCAGCCUCAGCCAUUGAGGCCAUUUGGGAAGUGAACCAGCAGAUGGAAGAUCUUUCUCUGUGUUUCUCCCUGUAUCUGACGCCACAUUUCAAGUAAGUCUUUAAAAAAAAUAUGUUGACAUUUUCUUACAUAAUCACAGUAUCUGAUAACAUUUAACAGAAUUCCUUGAUAUCAUCUGAAACCCAAUCAUUUUUCCAUAGUGACUAGCAGAAGUUUCUCUCUCUCUUUAAAAACCAAAUUCUCAUUUUUAAAAAAGUUCAUCUAUUUGUAAGCAGACAGAUCUCCCACCGGUUGGUUCACUCUUCUGAUAUCCACAACAGCCAAAACCAUUACCAUGGAACUGCAUCCAGGUCCUCCCCUGUGGGUGGUGGGGAACCAAGUACUUGAACCAUCAUCUGCUGUUUCAUAGGGUGUGUGUUAGCAGGAUUCUGAAAUCGAGAACAGAGCUGGGACUAGAAACCAGGCAUCCCCAGGGGCGUCUUACCAUGGCACCAAACAUCUCAUGAAGGUCUUUUACAGUGAUAGAUUUGAAAAUAGGAAUAUUUAUUGUUAAAUUCAUUAUGCUUUUUAAAAUCUGGAGAACUACAAGAGUGAUUUUAAAAGUAGUGUGAGGGGCCAGAAUUAUUAGAGCUGCCGCCUGCAUGUUCUGGCUGCUUCACUUCCGAUCUAGCUCCCUGGUAAUGGCUUGGGAAAAGCAAUGGAGGAUGGCCCAAGUGGUUGGGCCCCUGCACUCACAUGUGGAGACCAGGAAGAAGCUCCUGGCUUUUGCCUAGCUUAGCCUUAGCUGUUGUAGCCAUCUGGGGAGUGAACCAGUGAUGGACAAUCUCUCUUUCGCCCUUCCUCUUUUUCUUGUUCUCACUCUGUCUCUGUCUGUCCCUCUCUGUAUAAUGCUUUCAAGUAAUUUAAGUCAAUCUUUAGAAAAAGAAAAAAGAAAAAAAGCAAUGUGAUAGGACGAACAGACUUUCUUCAGCCAGUAAAUAGUGUAGCAAGAGAAGGUGGAGAGGACAAAGAUUGCUGUAGCCUGAAAAGGUAACUUAAAAUGCGUAACAGAUGUACCUCUAAUAUUUGGGAAAAUUGGUGCAAAUAAGCAUUAGUUAUUAUAAAGAAAAAAUAUUCUGAAAGUAGGUUCAUUAAAUGUAGGUUUUAUGUUCCUCAAAUUGUUAUAUAUUAACGGGCCGGCGCCGUGGCUCUGUUGGUUAAUCCUCCGCCUGCGGCGCUGGCAUCCCAUAUGGGCGCCAGGUUCUAGUCCUGGUUGCUCCUUUUCCAGCCCAGCUCUCUGCUGUGGCCUGGGAAGGCAGUGGAGGAUGGCCCAAGUGGUUGGGGCCCUGCACCCGCAUGGGAGACCGGGAGGAAGCACCUGGCUCCUGGCUUCGGAUUGGCGUAGCUCCGGCCAUAGCAGCCAUUUGGGGGUGAACCAAUGGAAGGAAGACCUUUCUCUGUCUCUCUGUCUAUAACUCUGUCAAAUAAAAAAUUGUUAUAUAUUAAAACAAUCUCAGCACACUAAUGAAAAAAAAAUUUUAAUGAUUCAUUCAUUUAUUUGAAAGGCAGAGUUAUAGAGAGGCAAAAACAGAGGGAGAGAGAGAUCUUCCAUUUGCUGGUUCACUCCCCAAAUGGCCACAAUGGCUGGAGCUGGGCCAAUCUGAAGCCAGGAGCUAGGAGCUUAUUCCGGGUCUCCCACGUAGGUGCAGGGCCCAAGCACUUGGACCAUCUUCUGCUGCUUUCCCAGGCACAUUAGCAGGGAGCUGGAUCGGAAAUAGAGACCCCGGACUUGAACAAGGCACCAAAUGGGAUGUUGGCACUGCAGGUGGUGGCUUAACCUGCUAUGCCAUAGUGCUGGCCACAGCUAAUGGAAAUUUUGCAUGAGGAUAUUACCAAAAGUCAAGAAAUCAGGGUGGGCAUUUGUAGCAAUUAGGGCGCUGCUUGGAAUGCCUGCAUCCUGAGUCAGAGUGCCUGGGUUUGAUCCAGCUUCCUGCUAGUGCACACAUCAUGGGCGGCAGCAGCUAAUGGUUCAAGUACUUGAGUCCCUGCUACUUACAUCAGAGAUCUGGAUUGAGUUUCAGGCCACCUGCUUUGGCCUCUCCUAGUGUUGGCUGUUUUCAGCAUUUGUGGAAUGAACCAGUGGAUGAAGAUCUCUCUGUUGUUGUGCUCUUCAAAUAAAUUUUAAAAAGGUAAAGAUUAUUAAUUCAUGAUAUACCUUUAAGAGUGUCACCAAAGCAGAAUUUAUCAUAAUUUAGUAAAACAUUAUAAAGAACAAAAAUAUACAGAUAUAUUUUUAAAAUAUUUAUUUAUUUUCAAGUCAAGAGUUACACAGAGAUGGAAGAAGAGGCAGAGAGAGAGAGAGGUCUUCCAUCUGCUGGUUCAUUCCCCAAUUGGCUGCAAUGGCCAGAGCUGCACCAAUCCAAAGCCAGGAGCCAGAAGCUUCUUCCAGGUCUUCCCACUUGGGUGCAGGGGCCUAAGGACUUGGGACAUCUUUUACUGCUUUCUGAGGCCACAGCAGAGAGCUGGAUUGCGAGCAGAGCAGCUGGGACUCAAACUGGCACCCAUAUGGGAUGCUGGCACUGCAGGCGUCAGCUUUACCUGAUACGCCACAGGGCCAGCCCCAUUGUCUCUGUUUUAUUUUAAUAGUAGUGACUAUUAAAUGUGAAAUUACAUUAUUCAAAUAUGAGUGUAACCAGUAGGUGGCAGAAAAUCAAUAUAUGAUUUUAGUUUUAAGAAAAUUGGUACUAUUUUCAAGGAAAAUGGUACAGCUCUUAAGCAAUAUACAUUUAAUUUUUCCCACCCACAAAAAAACAUUUUGUGCUUAUGGCCUUAGUAUACAUACUUUAUAAGUUGAAAAAGUGGUAUACAUUUAUUUUAAUGUUUAGUUUGCUUGAAAACUGUGGUUUUUUGAAAACAGUUUACUUGGAUGGGGAGAGAGGAGAGGUCAUGUUCAUAUAUCACAAAUUUUCAGCCUUUGAUUCUUUUAAAUUGUCCUUUAUGUAUCACUUCUGUAGAUAUUUUGUGUAGUUUUGAGGUGGAGGGGAAGCAGUUUUUUUCAAAGUAGAAAUCUGCUUCGAGUCUGAUUGAGUCCAAAAGGAUGAGUAGUGUUAUAGUUCUAUUAUCUGUUUCCAGAUUGACCUUUAUUUUGAAAUGAAAAAAAAAAAAGUAUUCAAGAGGCAGAGAGAGAGAGACAGAGAGUUCUACCUCUAGUCUGAUAUUUUACUCCCCAAAUUGCUGGCUGAAGCUGGGAACUCAAUAUAGGUCUUUCAUGUAGGUGGCGGGGACCCAACUAUUUAAGUCAUUACCUUCUGCCUCAUAGGGUGCAAAUUAGCAGGAAGCUGGAGUCAGGAAAAGAGCCAGAUAUAGAACCAAGGAACACCAAUGUGUCACGUGCGGUGCUGUAGUUUCUAUUACCCAUUUUCAGAUGAUCUUUUAGAAAGAGAAACUAGUUUACAGUUCUGCUGAUUGUAUGUAUAUAUGUACCCCCCUCCAUUCUCUUGAUUUUUUUUGCUUCAUAUUUUGUUUGGUUUUGUUAGGUGGAAAAAUGCAGAUGGCUAUCAAGGAUAUGGGAACUGGUGUUUUUCUGCUACUAUUGUCUUUGUUUGUUUGUUUAAUAUUAAUUUAUUUAAUGCGCCUGCCCUCCCAGGUGCAUAAGCAGGUAACUGAAUCAGAAGUGGAGCAGCCAGGGGGCUGGUGCUGUGGCAUAGUGGGUAAAGCCACCGGCCCUGGGUAAAGCCACCACCUGUGGUGCCGGCAUCCCAUAAGGGGGCUGAUUUGAGUCCCAGCUGCUCCACUUCCGAUCCAGUUCUCUGCUAUGGCCUGGGAAAGCAAAAAUGGCCCAUCUGUGGGCCCCUGCACCUGUGUGGGAGACCAAGAAGCAGAUUCUGGCUCCUAGCUCCUGGCUUCUGGCCGUUGCGGCCAGUUGGGCAGUGAGCCAGGGGAUGGAAGACCUCUAUCUUUCUGCCUCUCCUUCUCUCUCUGUGUAGCUCUGACUUUGAAAUAAAUAAAUACAUCUUAAAAAAAAAAAAAAAAGAAGUGGCGCAGCGAGGAUUCAAACUGGCACUCACAGGAUGCUGGUGUUACAAGUGGUGGGUAACCUGCUUUGCUAUGGUGCAAGCACCCAGAAAUACGUUUUACCUGUCAGAACUCAUUUUGCUUUUUCCUAUUCUCCUCUUUUUAUCCUUAUUAAUGAAUAUAAUAUUGUAGUGAUUUUCUUUUCUGUCUCUUUCAAAUCACUAAGCUUUUAGGUUCAAAAUUUUUUGUUGGUGUGCAUGUUUGGCCUAAUGAUUAAGACAUCGGUUCCGUUGCCUCCAUUCCAUUUCAGAAUGGCUAGGUUUGAGUUCUGGGACCACUCCUGAUUCCAGCUUCCUGCUAAUGUACACCUUGGGAGGCAGCAGGUGAUGGUUCAAGUAUUUGAGUCCUUGUUACCCCAUGGGGUGUGUGGAUUGAGUUCUUGGCUCCUGAGCUGGCCCUGUGCCCGGUCCUGGCAGUUUAAGGACAUUUGAGGAGUAAACUAGAUGGGAGCUCUUUCUGUCUCUCUGCCUCUUGAAUAAAAAAAGAUAAGGUUUUAGAAAACAGUCUGUGUGAGAUUUGGCAUUUCACUUACUCUGAUUUAUAGUACUUUGAUUUUAAUAUUUGGAUAGGUUUCAUAUUUUUAAGUUAAAUAGUACUCAGUUUGUAUUUUGUUUUCCUGGUUAGUUUUCAUCUGUUAGUGGAGUGAUAUGAUUUUAGGACUCUUACUAUAUAAUAUGAAUGCCCUUUUAUUCUUAUUUUUUACUUAUUUAUUUUUAAGAUUUAUUUUGAAAGUCAUAGUUAGAGAGGGAAAGACUGAGAGGGAGAGAUUUCCCAUCUGCUGUUUCACUUCCCUGAUGGCCUCAAUGACCAGCACUGGGCCAGGUUGAAGCCAGGAGCUUUAUCCAGGACUCCCAUGUGGGUGGUAGGGGCACAAACACUCGGGCCAUUUUCUGCUGAUUUUCGCUACCCAUUAGCAGGGUUCGAGAUCAGAAGUGGAGCAGCCGGGACAUGAACCAGUGCCAGUACUCAAUGCUGGCAUUGCAGGUGGCAGCUUAAUCUGCUGUGUCAUGAAGCUUAAUAAAUGAAUUAAUGAAUUUAUUAAUUACAGUACUUCCAGAUGAGUUUCCCUUGGGUUUUCUUGGAAUUCGUAUCAUUAAUAAAAUAAAUAUCUGUUUUCCCACUGUUGUACAUUUGUUACUCCCUUCCCCCCAAGCAUUGUUAAUAUUUCCAGCCUUGGAAUGGAGAGGAAUGGAGAGGAGUCAUCCUGCUCUUGUUACAUUGGUUUUAAUGUUUAAGAUGCCCACGCUUCUUGAUAGAAUUUCAGAUUGUGGUUAAAGUACUUGGAUCAUGGGUGGGAAAUUUUUCCUUCCUUAAGAGGACUCACUGAAUGUUACUUUAUUCACAGAUAUCCCUGAAUGUUUCCUUUUUAUUCAUAUCUGAACCCAAAAAAAGUCAGUGUAGAUUGUGGUACAAAGUUCAUUCUGAUUUUCUUUUUAAUAAUUAAACCAUAAAUUGUUAGAGGACAGUGUGUAUGUAUGUGUGUGUGUGUAUUCUAAGCAAAGUUCUUCUAAGUAAAUACUCUGUUAAGAAAGGUAACUAUUGGUCAUGACUAUAAGGAUAUCAUGACAGGGUGAAAGCCAGAAGGCUUUUCUUUUUUCAAAUUGCCUAUUCUAUAAUACAGGUGUAUUAGUUACAUAAUUUGUUAUAUUUUUACAGGUGUAUUAGUUACAUAAUUUGUUAUAUUUUCUCUUCAUUUGAUUAUUUAAUUUUAAUAUAAAAGUAACUCUUAUUUCAAUUGUUAAAAAAUAUUUAUUUAUUUGAAAAGUAGAGAGAGUGAGAGACAGAAGAUCUUCCAUCCACUUGUUCACUCUCCAGAUGGCCACCAUGGCCAGGGCCAGGAGCUUCUGAUCUGCCACAUGCGUGUAGGAGUCUAAGCACUUAGGCCAUCCUCUGCUGCCUUCCCAUGCACAGCAGCAGGGAGCUGGAUCAGAAGUGGGACAGUGGGGGUUAAACUCGUGCAUAUAUGGGAUGCCGAUGUCGUAGGUGGUGGCUUUACCCACCAUGCCACAAUGCCAGCCCUCUUGUUUCAGUUUUAAUAUAUUAAUUAAUUGAUGUCUCAUGUAUAGUUUAGGAACAGGAACAAUGCAGAAGUAAUUGUGGAAAGUUAAAAACUUAAUGAUUUCCAGGCCGGUGCCGUGGCUCAAUAGGCUAAUCCUCCGCCUUGCAGUGCCGGCACACCGGGUUCUAGUCCUGGUCGGGGCGCCGGAGUCUGUCCCGGUUGCCCUUCUUCCAUUCCAGCUCUCUGCUGUGAUCUGGGAGGGCAGUGGAGGAUGGCCCAAGUGCUUGGGCCCUGCACCUGCGUGGGAGACCAGGAGAAGCACCUGGCUCCUGGCUUCGGAUCAGCGUGGUGCGCCGGCCGCAGCAGCCAUUGGAGGGUGAACCAACGGUAAAGGAAGACCUUUCUCUCUCUCUCUCUCUUACUGUCCACUCUGCCCUGUCUCAAAAAAAAAAAACACCUUAAUGAUUUCCAUAAAAAUCAAAAAUAUUUGAGUACAAUGCAACAGUCAAGAAGUAUGCCUAUGGUGGGAAACCAUUUUUUUUUUCCCCUCCAAAUAACGAGAGAGAGAGAAUCUUCCAUGUGGUAGUUCAAUCUGUAAAUGGCUGAAAUGGCUGGGGCUGGCUAGGCCGAAGCCAGGAGCCAGGAGCUUCUUCCAGGUCUCCCAUGUGGGCACAAGGACAUCUUCCUCUGUUUUCCCAGGCACAUUAGCAGGGAGCUGGAUUGGAAGUGUUGCAGCCAGCACUUGAACCGGUGCUAAUAUCAGAUGCCGUCACUGUAGAUAGAGGCUUAACCUACGAUGGCCACAGCGCUGGCCCCCAGGAAACCUUUUCAGUUUUUUUUUUUUUUUUUUAAUUUAUUUGAGAGGUAGAAUUACAGACAGUAAGAGGGAGAGACAGGGAGAAAGUUUUUCCUUCUGUUGGUUCACUCCCCAAAUGUACACAACAGCUGUAGCUGCGCCAAUCUGAAGCCAGGAGCCAGGUGCUUCUCCCUGGUCUCCCAUGCGGGUGCAGGGGCCCAAGGACUUGGGCCAUCCUCCACUGCCUUCCCAGGCCACAGCAGAGAGCUGGACUGGAAGAGGAGCAGCCGGGACUAGAACCGGCAUCCAUAUGGGAUGCCGGCACCGCAAGGUAGAGGAUUAACCUACUGCGCUGCUGCGCCAGCCCCAGGGUUUAACCUCUUUAAUUCUGGAGGAGCCCAGCUGUGUUUUAAUACAUGUAUUGCUGGCUUAGCAUUCUGCCUGGGUUCAUGCCGCGCCCUUGCUUUUUCCUUCCUUUGGUUUUGUUUCCAGGCCUGUUCUGUUCUGCGUGACUGCUGGGGUUUACAUUGUAGCUUUGGACUUAGGAUUUUAAAAAUCUCUGCAAGUGAUUCUAACAAAUUUUGCUAAGUGAUCCCUAGAAAACCUUUAGACUUGUUUUUCUUUUCCUGAUUGUUACAGUUUGAUUUUCAGUUAGGUACAAGUUCUGUGAUGUCUUCCUACCCUCACUGUCAGAAUGGUAAUUGGUAUGUGAUGUAUAUAGUGAUUGCUGAAUGAGUGAAUGUAGAAUAGUGUUGUCACUUUCCGAUUCUGGUUUCCUUCUGUCAAAACAAACAGGUUUGAGGAAGUCUGGGCUUUUUGUACUUGCUUCCCAUCCUAGCUUUUGAAAGUUUUCCUGGACCAUUACUGGGUUGAAAUCUUAUGUGUCAGGACUGGCAGAUUUGUGUUUUUUCCUCUAGCAUUUAUUUUGAAAGCUUUUAAGUUUUCAGAACAGUUGCAAGAAUAAAUCAGUGGUUUCUUAUGUGCUUUAUAUAGGUUGCCAGGUUUUUAUAUUUUGCUGUAUUUGUUCUAUCCUAUCACUUGUGUGUCUUUGCCCAAGCAUCCAUCUAGAUUUAUGAUUUGAAUGAGCUGAGGGCUGGAGUCAUUUGUAUGUAUGUUUCCUCAGGAAAGGCUAACACAGUGUGUCUUCUGGAAGAAACUCUUGUAAGUUUCAGAGUUGUUUCAUUAGCUUCUUCUGAAGUAAUCACUGCUGUCUGUCUUCAACAAGCUUUGGACAUGUAGUAUACAUAGGCAUUGCUUGACACUGGGGUUAAAACAUACAGGGACACAUGGGUCUUGUAAUCUCGAUGGAGGAGUCUUCUGUGCAACAGGCAAUUCAAUAUCUCUGAAUGGAAUGUAAGGGCAGGCAUUUGGCCUAGUGGUUAAGAUGCCAGUUAGGAUGCUCACAUCCCAUGUUGGGGAGUGCCUGGGUUCUGUUCCUGGCUCCCUCUUCCAGUUUAAGCUGCCUGCUGGUGGAGAUUCUGGAGGCAGCAAGUGAUGGCUCAAAUGAUUGGGUCCCUGCCGCUCAUAGGGGAGACCUGGAUUGAGUUCCCAGCUCCCAGAUUUGACUUGUUCCAGGCCUGGUCUUUGCAGGUAUUUGGGGAAGUGAGUCAGUGGUUAGGAGCUGUCUGUCUGGUCUUUGCCUCUUGAAUAAAUUAUAAAGGAAAAUGGGAUGCAAAGUGUUGGGAGAAGGAAUGGGUGUCAGGAGAAAACCUCACUUUGACUUAGUAGGAAAGAAGAGGUCAAGGAAUGCUUCUUGGAGGUCAAAAUGUUAGGGAGAUUGCAAAACCAAUAGACUGGCAGUAGUUGGCAAACUUUUUUCCUGUAAAGAGCCUAAAUAGCAAAUAUUUUAGCUUUCCUGAGCCAGAUGAUCUCUGUUGCAACUGUUUAACGCUGCUUUUGUAGUGUGAAAGCAGAAUGGACAGUAAAUAAGUUUGAAAGUGUGACUGUGUCUAGUCAGACUAUUAUGGACAUGGAACUUUUGAGUUAACAUAUAAUUUUUAGGUGUUGUGCGUUAUUCCUUGGUAUUUUCUUCCAUUUCAAAAUGUAAAUGCCAUUUUUGUAUUCAUGUCCCUUAGCAAAAAACAAUGAUAAGCUAUAGCUUGCUGAUGCCUGGAAUCUGGUGCUAAUGUGCUCACUCAUUAUUUGGGACCUUCGGUAGGUUUGAUAGAGUAUUUCUGCCCCUCUUGCUGUUCUUUUCAACAUUUCAGUAAUGUCUCAGUAAUUUUACAGAUUGAAAGAAAAGGAGAUUAGGAUUUAUGAAGGUGACUAAUCAGUGGUACAUAUGCAGUGAGGCAUGCAUUACAUAAUUGAUAGUACUUAGUAGGCCUGAGUUUAGUCAUGAUCUUGUCAAGUUACUAGUUAUAUAAUAUUGGACGAAUCAUUGCACUUUUCUGAGCAUUGCCUGUGAAAAGGAGAAUGUAAACUUCUGCAGCUACUACUCAGCAUUUACUACAAGUAGUGGGGCAGUCAAUUUACUAUAUAGCCUGUGAAAAUCAUUGUACUAUACUUUUCUACAAUUUUGAUUGUUUUCAUUUUUCUUUUUUUAAAGACAUUUAUUUGUUUGAUAGGGAGAGUUAGAGAAGGAGAGAGAGAGAGAGAGAGAGAGAGAGAUCGAUCUUCAUGCACUGGUUCAUUUUCCAAAUGGCUUCAACAGCCAGGGCUGGGCCAGGCCAAAGCCAGGAGCUUCUUCCAUGUGUCCAUGUGGAUAGCAGGAUCCCAAGGACAUGGGCCAUCCUCUGCUGCUUUCCCAGGCACUUUAACAGGGAGUUGGAUCAGAAUUGGAGCAGCCAGGACUUGAACUAGCACCCGUAUGGGAUUCCUAUGUUGUAGGCUAUGGCUUUAACCUGCUUGCCAUGUGCCAACAGCCAUUUUUCUUUUUUAAAGUCCCUCUGGUCAUUGAAUGGGGGAACAGAUUAUACAGUGGCAAGAGGGAAAUCUUGGAAACCAAGAAGGAGGCUGCUGUGGUAAUAUAAUCGAUGGGUUGUGGUUAUGGUUUGGCUGGAUUGUUUGAGGAGAGGAGAUGAAAAUGAUCAGAUUAUGGACUUGUUUCGAAGGUGGAGCUGACUAGAUUUACUGAUGGGAUUUGAGGUAAGAGAAAAGCCAAGAAUGAUUUUUGUUUAAGGCUUGAGGAAUUAAGGGAAAAUUAUGUCAUUAAAAAAUGCUGUGAAUUCCUUUUUGAAAAAUAGGGUUUGUCAAAAGACCUAGUUUCUAGUGUUAGCUCCUCCUUGUUGAGGUGGCAUUUGAUUAACUUUUGUGUCUUGGCUGUUUCUGUGGGCAGCAUGGCAUGGGAUCUUUGCUGAGGCAUCAACAAGCUGCGUUAGCUGUGUUGGCCAUACCAGGUCUCUCCUGACACCUUGUGUAAAGAGCUGAAAAAAUGUUGUUUAUGUAGCUGCAUAGCUACAUGGUUUAACACUUGUUCUCCAAAAGCUUUAAUGAAUUAAUCACCAAUUUCAAAGGGUCCUUUAAUGGUGAGGUGAAAUACUUGUCUUUGUAUUUUGUUACAUGUUUUCAUCAUUAAUUUGAGCAGAGCUUGCCAUCACUUAGUUAUGUUAGCUUGUGUAAGGACGCGGAGCACUGCCCUUUUGGGAAAUGUAACAUGGGAAUUUUUGAUGUCUUGUUUGAGUGAAACUGCCUCUCAAUGAGUGUUAAUGAUGACUGGCUUCCCAACAUGCUUUGUUGAAGGACCACGGUAGAUUUAACGAUAGGAGUAAUAGGAUUAUUGGGACUUCAGUAGUAACAGCUGCAGAAACUCAGGCACCUGACAGACACACUCAAUUAAUGUUGAUAGUGUUCUUUUACAUUUAAUUGGACUACCAGCCUGCCUUCUUCAUAUUAAACCUCUUCAUUAGCUGGUUUUCCCACUUACAAAUGGCAUAGUCAAAGAUAGUUUAAGGAAAGAUAGUUUGAAUCCUUCCAGAGAUUUAUUUAUAUUGAGCCUACUUGAGUUUACAUUUAAUUUUUUGAAAAAUCUUCUUUAGGUUUUUGACAAGUUAGCUCAGGUCCACUAUAGGAGAAAUUUGAGUGACAUGUCCCAAAAUCAUGCCUCUAAUGUAGAAGAUAUACUAUCUUACUCUUUUUGGAAAUGUAUUAUUUCAGCUUUGUCCUUAAAAUAGUCACUCUAAAAGACAAGUUUAAGUUCUGUGUUAGUAAGUAGUGUCUGGUACACUUUGAUGCUGAGAAAAAUAAGUUGAUGGGAAGAAAUACUUUAUGGUUUUAAUAUCCUGAACAGUGCCAGUAUUAGAAUUUACUUCACUUGCCUCGUGUUAGCCCUUAAAAUAAUAUACUCCUCGUGUCUCAUGAUACACAUAGGUAUUUGAAAGAAAUUUCUUGGUGGUUCUACUAUAUAGUUUGAAGUUUUAAAUUGAGGAGGAAGUGGUUGACUGCUUGACAUUUUUUUUUUUAAUUUAUUUGACAGAGUUAGUGAGAGAGAGACAGAGAGAAAGGUCUUCCUUCCACUGGUUCACCCCCUAAAUGGCCGCUACAGCCGGAGCUAUGCCGAUCGGAAGCCAGGAGCCAGGUGCUUCCUCCCGGUCUCCCCUGUGGGUGCAGGGGCCCUAGCACUUGGGCCAUCCUCCACUGCCUUCCCAGGCCACAGCAGAGAGCUGGACUGGAAGAGGGGCAUCUGGGACUAGAACCCGGCACCCAUAUAGGAUGCCAGCGCCGCAGGCAGAGGAUUAACCAAGUGAGCCAUGGCGCUGACCCCUGCCUGACAUUUUCUAACAUUGAUAGAGUAGUGCAGGCUUUGAAUAUUCACUUCUGCUUGUUUUCACAGGAAGCUUCACCUACAUUUGUUUUGGAAUUUUGUUAAAGGAAGUUUUAGCAUAUAUGAAGACAUAGAGGGGCUAGUGUUGUGGUGCAGUGUGUUAAGCCAUCACUUGGACACCCACAUCUAAUAUUGUAGUGCCUGGUUUAGCCCUAGCUACUCUGUUUCUCAUCUGUCUUCUUGCUAAUUCAUCUGUCUGCUAAGUGAUGGCUCAUGCACUUGGGUCCCUGCCACCCAUGUGGGAGACCCUGAUAGAGUUUCUGGCUCCUGGCUUUGGCCUGGCCCAGCUCUGGCUGUUGCAGCUAUUUGGGGAGUGAACCAGCAGAUGAAGAUUCUCUCUCACUCUGCCUUUCAAGUAAAUAAAAUAAAUCUUAUAUUUGGAGACUAGAGUCUGGCUUUUUGUGGUAGGUAGGGUUUUGUUACUUGAUUGCAAAAUUCGCAUUGUAAAUAUAACUAUUAAGUUAAAGGGUUAAAUUAUUAUUUGUAGACCUUUUUAGUUUGCCCAUUAAUUUUCAGUACUAGGGAAGUGGUCUUUUUGGUUGCUAUUUCUGAAAAUCUAUAGUUUAAUUUAUGCUGUAGUUUAUUUUCAAGGUAAUUAUUAAUGCUUUUAAAAUGAAAAUUAUAUUGAUUCUUUUUUAACAUAUGCAUAUGUAGCUCCUCCUUUUUCCUCUUCCAGUUGUUAAGUUUGCAAAGUUUUUGUGCUAGAAGAAUUAAGGUGAGAGGUGCUGUGCAAAAUAUGAAUGUUAUCUUCCAAGAUUUAUUCUUGUACCUUGUUAGGGAUGUGGGUGGGUGUUGGUGUGAUUGUGUGAGAGAAUGUGUCUUUUUUUUUUCUUAAGGCAUAGGUUUUUUUUUCUUUUUUUUCUUUUUAGAGAUUUAUUUAUUUAUGAGGUAGAGUUACAGACAUGGAGAGGGAGAGACAGAAAGAAAGUUCUUCCAUUUGUUGGUUCACUCCCCAAAUGGCCGCAGGGGCCAGAACUGAGCUGGUCCCGAAGCCAGGAGCUUCUUCUAGGUCUCCCACAUAGGUGCAGGGGCCCAAGAAGUUGGGCCAUCCUCCACUGCUUUCCCAGGCCAUAGUAGAGAGCUGGAUUGGAAGAAGAGCAGCUGGGACUUGAACCAGCAUCCAUAUGGGAUGCCAGCCCGAAGCAUAGAUCUUUUAUCUUUUGCUGUAAAUAUACAGCAAAAUCAGCCAAAUACAGUGCCACACAUAAGCAUUUCAAGAUUUAAUGAACUGGGUCACUGGGAAGAUCAUUUAUUUGAAAAAACAAUUGGAAAAAAAAUUUAGAAGAAAUGUAUAUUAUACCAUGUCCCAUACAUUGAAUUUAGUAUAUAUUGAAAAUAAAAAAAUACACGUUAUUACCAGUAUGUUUGUUAAGUUAAUGCUUGCUAAUCACUAAUAUGUUUUCAAAAAUGUAGAAGGGACAUAGAAGAAGUUAGUUUUUAGCUUUGAAAAUACUAAUAAAGAAUGCUAAAGAAAUAUUUCAUAAAAUAGUAAGUGGGGAGGCUCUGUACUUACACCCUUCUGUUCUUAGUAAUUAAUAUGUAAUAGAUAAUUCCAUUUUUUAAAAAAAGAUUUUUUUAUUUGAAAGUCAGAGUUAUAUAGAGAAGGCGAGGCAGAGAGAGAGGUCUUUCAUCCGCUGGUUCACUCCUCAAAUGGCUGCUGCUAUGGCUGGAGUUGGGCUGAUCCAAAGCCAGGAGCCAGGAGCUUCUUUCUGGUCUCCCACAUGGGUGCAGGGGCCUAAGGACCUGGGGCAUCUUCUGCUUUCCCAGGCCAUAGCAGAGAGCUGGAUCAGAAGUGGAGCAGGAACUUGAACCAGUGCCCAUAUGGGAUGCUGGUGCUGCAGGCAGCAGCUUGACCUGCUGUGCCACAGUACUGGCCCUGAUCAUUCCAUUUGAUUUUAACUCUUUGUAUUGAAAAGGACAUUUACAUGUUUGAAAAAUUUUAUGUCCAUGAUUAGCAUUUAUAGGAUUUAAAAAUAGUGUAUUAGUUGCAGUUUAUGGAAAUUACAUAUGUACUGGAUAAUACUGUGAACAUGUUUUUCCUAGCUGUGAUUUCCAGAUAACUUUUGAAAUACUGAGUAAAUUAAGCAGUUAAAAAAUAUGAUAGAUUCAGUUUUCACCCUUUUGGAUUUGUGUUUAUUUUAAUUAAGAUAUGACUCUUUGAUUUACUUGGAAAUGUUGCUUGGGUUUUAACACAUGAGUUUUACUCAGGCUUGUCAGUUGUGUUUUAUAAACCAGGUGGUAAUUAUUUGGUUUACAACUCUGUUCCUUUGAAUGCAGUGGACACGUGUAGCACUGCUAUUCACUGCUCUCUAGUACCAGGACUUUAUGGCAGGCUGCAGUAGUGUAGACCGAAGGACCAUGUACUCGGGCCUAGAAAUUGCAUGAAGUCUGUAAUGCCCGUGAGUUCUGGUUUCUGGAAUUAGAACUUUAUUCAUAUUCUCAAAGGGAGUGGAGAGAUGAAUGGCUUGGGGUGGGAUGGGGGUGGGGUUAAAGGUUAAUUAAGUAAAAGGUUAAUUAAGCUGGUAUAUUGACAGCUGAAGGGAAAUGAAAAGUAAGGUUUGUGAAGUUACCUUCUUUUAAGGACAUGACAGAAAGAUGUAAAAUGAUUUUUCUGUUUAGACAAAUAGCCUGGAUUAAAGAAUUUGUUAAUUGUACAAAUCGUGUUUUUUUUUUUUUUUUCUUCAGUUUUUAUUUGAAAGGGAGAGAGAGAGAGAGAGAAAGCAUAAAUAUGCUAGCUUACUCCCUAAAUGACUACAACUGCUGGAGCUGGGCCAGGCCCAAGCCAGGAGCCUGGAAUUCAAUCCAGGUCUCCCCAGGGAUAGAGAAAGAGACAGCAGUUCCAUCCACUGGUUUUCUCCCCAAAUACUUGCAAUAGCCAAGAUUGGGCCAGGGCUGAAGCCAAGAGCCAGAAACUCAGUCCAUGUCUCCCAUAUGGGAGGCAUGGAUCCAAGUACUUGAGCCAUCACUGGCUGCCUUCCAGGGUCCACAUUAGUAGGAAGCUGAAGUCAGGAACCAAAGGUGGGUAUUGAACCCAGGUAUUCUGAUAUGGGAAGUGGGCAUCUUAACUACUAGCCUAUGAAAAUAGUUUUGGCCAGUGGUUUCUGGUUUUGUUUUCAUUUUCAAUUAUUUAUUUAUUUUCAUUUGAUUUGAGAGGCAUAUCUUCCAUCUGCUGAUUAACUCACCAAAUGUCUGUGGCUGGGCCAGGCCAAAGUAAGGAGCCUGGAAUUCUAUGUGGGUCUCCCAUGUGGGUGGCUAGGACCCACGUAUUUGAGCCAUCAUCUGCUGCCUCUCAGCGUGGGCAUUUUAGCAGGAAGCUGGAUUGAUAAGUGGAGGAUCUGGGACUUGAACCAGACACUUGGGUUCGGGAUGUGGGCCACCCCACAGCCCUAGACACCUACUCCUUGGGAGGUUUGAAUCAACCAUACUUUGAGAAUUGUAGGGGAAAAUGGACAUUGCUGCUUUUGAGUUACUGUGGCAGUUCUUCCACCUGAGGGGAAAAGAAAGAAAUCAAACUGAAAGCCUAAUGGAGAGGGAGCACAUGUUUAUGACAUUUCCUUUUACUCUCAUUUAAGCCUCAUGACUGUCCUGUAGAUACUGUUGUUCCUUAUGUGCAUUUUAGGCACACAGGUUCCUGAGGGACCAUAUAGCUUGCUUGAAGUCAUAGAAUUGCUAAAUAAUGGCUAGAGGACUGAACUUAGACUCUGGGUGUCUGUGUGCUCUUUGCUGAGCCGCAGCUACAUCCAGAUGAUAUAACUGAUCCUGGAAUGAGAAGAGAAUAAUUGUGCUCUAACCUUUGUAUCUCUUGUGUCCUGGCAUCAUUUCUCUAUUGUCCCUGGCUUGCUAAGAAUACUGGGAGUGGGGCUGGCGCUGUGGCUCAGUGGGUUAAAGCCCCGGCCUGCAGUGCUGGCAUCCCAUAUGGGCACCAGUUCUUGUCCCGGCUGCUCCUCUUCUGAUUCAGCUCUCUGCUAUAGCCUGGGAAAGCAGUAGAAGAUGGCCCAAGCCCUUGGGCUCCUGCAUCCCUGAGGGAGACCUGGAACAAGCUCCUGGCUCCUGGCUUCCGAUUAGCUCAUCUCUGGCCGUUGCAGUCAUUUGGGGGAGUGAACCAGCAGAAUGGAAGACCUCUCUCUCUCUAGCUCUACCUCUCUCUGUAACUCUCUUUCAAAUAAAUAAUUCUGAAAGAGAGAAAGAGAGAGAGACAGAGAGAGAGAGAAAGAGAGAAAGAAUACUGGGAAGGACCUGCAUUGUGGUACAGUGGUCCUCUGUGAAGGCCAGUUGUAGUCCUGGCUGCUUUGCUUCCUAUCCAGCUUCCUGUUAAUGCACCUGGGAAGGCAGUGGAGGAUGGCCCCAGGUGCUUGGGCCUCUGCCACAUCUUUGGAAGACCUUGAUGGAGUUCUGGGGGCUGGAUCAGCCAUGGCCUUUGUAGCCAUAUGGGGAGUUGAACCAGUGGAUAGAAGAUCUUCCUCUAUUUGUCUCUUUCUUUCUCUACCUUCAAAAAUAAAUGAAUGAAUCAACUUUAAAAAGUGGGAAUUCUUGAAUACAAACAUGAUCGUAGAAACAACUGAUAAUUUCUUUAUCUUUGGUCUGCUUUGUAAAAUUGAAAUAAAGCUGUGGAACAAAAUAUUGCCAAGGCAAGAAGUCAUAAGCAUAGUGUAUUUUGGUAAAUACUAUGCUUUACUGAAACUUUGAAAGUGAACUUGAAAGAGGAGUGAAUAGACUGUAGAAGUUAAUGAUACUGCUCAGUCCUUUCUUUUUAAGAUGUGAUUUAUUUGAAAGGCAGAGUGAGAGAGAGAUCUCCUCCAUCCGUUGGUUCACUCCCCAAAUGGCCGUAGUGGCCAGGGCUGGGCCAGGCGGAAGCCAGGAGCUUCUUCAGGGUCUCCCACAUGGGUGCAGGGGCCCAAGAAGUUGGACCAUCCUCCACUGCUUUCCCAGGCCAUAAGCAGAGAGCUGCAUUGGAGGUGGAGAAGCCAGGACUCAAACCAGCACCCAUUUGGGAAGCUGGCACUGUAGGCUGCGGCUAUACCCGCUACACAACAGUGCUGGCCCCAUAAAAGCGACACUUUUAAGGUUACCUAAAAAGAUGUCUUUUCACUUAGGAAAUCUUUUUACUUUAUAUAAAAGAUGGGGAGUUUUGUGAUACCAACCAGGAAAUAAUUACAGAAAACUUUCAGUGGCUAAAACUUACAAUCUGGAAGAGGGUUAAGAGAGAAAGUAAUCACAGAAUCUCAAAAUUAACAUAGUGCCACACAUUACAACCUUGAAAACUACAGUUUACCUAGAUUUUUAUUAUUUGUGUGUUCAUUGGGGCUUUGUCUAGACUUACCAAGAGAAUGAGGACAUAGAUACCUUUUCUUUAAUUGGAACUGUAUGCAGAAAUCAGUAUUUGAAGUAUAAAAGCAAAAUGGUUGAAGAGAGUUGUGGCGUGGAGUUCUCUUGUUUUACUUGGGAGAUUCUGUUUGGCAUUGCAGCAUGCCUUGAGUUGGUGGUAGUGAGCAGGGUCACCAUGUGCUGAUUGUUGGUUCUUUGCCACUCCUUAGUCUGUACUCAAAACAUUUUCUUUUCUUUUCUUUUCUUUUCUUUUCUUUUCUUUUCUUUUCUUUUCUUUUCUUUUCUUUUCUUUUCUUUUCUUUUCUUUUCUUUCUCUCUCUCUCUCUUUCUUUCUUUCUUUCUUUCUUUCUUUCUUUCUUUCUUUCUUUUUAUUUUUAUUGAUGAGCUGAUGAUCCUUUGAACAUACUGUCUCUAUCCCUAAUAUCUUUUUUUUUUCUGAAGAUUUAUUUAUAUGAAAGGCAUUUACAGAGAGCGGGGAUAGAGAGAGAGAGCAUGAGCGAGCGAGCGAGAGAGAUCUUCCAUCCACUGGUCCACUCCCCAAAUGGCUGCAACAGUCGGAGCUGCGCCAAUCUGAAGCCAGGAGCCAGGAGCUUCUUCCAGGUUUCCCAUGCAGCUGCAGAGGUCCAAGCACUUGGGCCAUCCUCCCCUGCCUUCCCAGCCAGGCCAUAGCAGAGAGCUGGAUUGGAAAUGGGGUAGCCAGGGCUCAACUUGCACCCAUAUGGGAUGCUGGCACUGUAGGCAGUGGUUUUACUUGCUAUGCCAUAGCACAGGUCCCAACAGUACCCUUCUGAAUGCUUUUUGCCAGACUUUCUGCUUUGUCCACACUAAUAUAAGACCCAUUCUCAUGGUUUGGUGUACUUCCUGCAUUUGUCCUUGGUCUGUCCCUUUUUUCCUGCCCCCCCCCCCCCCCCUUCCUUUACCAUGUCUUGGACUCAGCAGAGCACCUUCCAGGCAUAUCUCCCUGGUUUGCCACAUUGUGCUAAGUGCUCUCACCACUUCCUCUGUGUGUUUAUCUCCACUGGCUUGUCAGCCUUUCCCCCAGCUCCCCACCCAGACACAGACUAACACUUCCUUGUUGUUUGUUCCCAUGCCUGGUGCAGUGUGUGGCACAGAAGACAGCAAUUCAUGUCUGUUAAAUGGUUAAGUAACAUCUAUAUGGUCUCAGGGUACACAUUGGUAAAUAUGUCCAUGUGGCUAACAUUGCUUUAAAAUAGGAUAUUUUGCAUAAAAUUCUGUGUUUCCAUAGUCUGGAAAAAAAAAUGAGGCUGUUUAGCCCCCUGGGUCAGUAUGUUUUUCUGACAGCUGUUCACUACAUCUUUUAGAUGAUUUGCCCUAGUCUAACCUCUCCUGCCAGGGGACUGUGUUACUACCUGUCCCUUGAGACACUUGGGGUAUGAUUCCUGAUCUAGAGGAACAGUGGCCUGCUAACCUUCCAAUCAGAUUGACAAAACUGCGUUUGGUGUUUUGAAAGAAGGUGAGGUUUUGAUCUCCAUAGUGUUUCUGCAGUUUUGGCUUUCUGUGAGGCUGAUUAAGGAUAGAGCCUUAAAUUUUCCAUAUACACUUAACUAAGACACCCAUCGAGUGCUGAUGCAUUGCAUUUCCAAGGACGUUAGCAGAAUGAUUGUUCUAGAAUACUUUCAUGAUACAAGCUUGCAUGAAAUAAAAUGUUUAGGGCUGGACUUUCUGGUGCAGUACUUAAGACACUGCUUGGGAUGCUGCAUUUCAUAUUGUAGUGCCUGGUUCCAGUCUUUUCUGCUGUUGUGCAUCCUGGGAGACAUCAGGUAUUGGCUCAAAUACUUGAGUCCCUGCCACUGAUUUGGGAGACCAGUUUGUGUUCUGGGUUCCUGGCUUUGGCCUGGCAUUUGGUGAGUGAACCAGUAGAUGGAAGAUCUCUGUGUUUAUCACGCUGCCUUUCAAAUAAAUGGAAAUAUUAAUAAAAUAUUUAGUUACUGGGAACAUUAAUCAAAUUGAAGUUGGAUUUACUUUUUAGAUACUAUUAUUAUUAUUAUUUUGAAAAACAAAGUGGCAGUGAGGUGGCGGCGGGAGAUUUCUAUCUGCUGGUUCACUCCUCCAAUGGUCACAACAUUUUGGGCUGGGCCAGGUGUAAAACUAGGAGCCAGGAACUCCAUCUGGGUCUCCCAGAUGGGUAACAGGGGCCCAAGCACUUGGGCCUUGUUUCACUUGUUUCCCAAGUACAGUAACAGGGAGCUGGAUCCGAAGUGGAGCAGCUGGUACUUGAAUGGGUAUUCCAAUAUGGGAUGCUGGCAUCACAGGCAGCAGCUUAAUCUGUGCAACAAUGCUACUCUCCUGGAUUUUAUUAAAAAAUUAUAUAUAUAUAUAUAUAUAUAUAUAUAAUGUAUGGGCUCUAUUAUGGUUUUAAAAAUUAUUACUGUGUUGGCCAGCGCCGCGGCUCACUAGGCUAAUCCUCCACCUGCGGCGCCGGCACCCCGGGUUCUAGUCCUGGUUGGGGUGCCGGAUUCUGUCCUGCUUGCUCCUCUUCCAGUACAGCUCUCUGCUGUGGCCCGGAGGGCAGUGGAGGAUGGCCCAAGUGCUUGGUCCCUGCACCCCCGCAUGAGAGACCAGGAGGGGGAGCCUGGCUCCUGCCUUCGGAUCGGCGCAGUGUCGGCCGUAGCGGCCAUUUGGAGGGUGAACCAAUGGAAGGAAGACCUUUCUCUUUGUCUUUCUCUCUCACUGUCUAACUCUGCCUAUCAAAUUUGGGGGGUGCCCAUAUGGGAUACUGGCACCGCAGGCGGAGGAUUAACCAAGUGAGCCACAGCGCUGGCCCCCUGUUUGCUUUCUGUGAAGUUUUAUGGUUUCUGCAUAUUAGGGUUAAUUGUACAGCUCCCUUUCUGAUCAAAAUGCAUGCCUGCCAUAAGCAUACUGGGAGUCCUGGGGCUGGGAGGUCCCUCUUGGUGAACUCUGUGUGGACUAGAUAGAGGGAAGAGUUGGAUGGUCUCACAGUCAGUUGGACAAGCAGGAACUCAUGUAACCCCCUUUUGCCCUGUGAUUCCUUUAUGGCAUAGGUGUCAGGUGCUUUAGGAACUACAGGUUGGAAGUAGUACUGCCAUCAGAAUUUUGCUUCUAAUUUUUUGGGUAGUCAUUAGAAUGCAGAUUAUGUUAAAGUACAUACAGUUAAGUAAAAGUCAAUGCAUGUCUACUACCCCUUAAGGAAACCUCUCCCCCUAUUGGUUGGCCUAGAUAGGAGUUCUGAUAUUUAGAGAUUACUCAUUUUUAUAAAUAUCAACUAUCUGAACACUUGGGCACACAAAAACAUCCAGUUCAGCCUGUGCAAAAAUGUGUUUUCUAGAGUGCCCAGGAAACAUUAUCCUGUAAGGGUUUGAGAGGUGAAAUGGGAGAAGAGAGAGCAAAAACAAUGUUCAGGGGCUGUCUCAGUGUGCUUCACAGGUGAUUCUUGGCAAAAGAAGUCAAAAUUUGUUUCCAUUGUGUUUUUAGAAUUCCCCUUGGGGGCAGAGCUUUGGCCUAGCAGCUAAAGCUGCCGCCUGCAGUGCCGGCAUCCCAUAUGGGUGCUGAUUCGAGUCUUGGCUGCUCCAUUUCCAAUCCAGCUCCUUGAUGUGGCCUGGGAAAGCAGUAGAAGAUGGACCAAGUGCUUGGGGCCUUGUACCCACAUGGGAGAUGGGGAAGAAGCUCCUGGCUUCAGAUCGACUCAGCUCUGGCCGUUGUGGCCAUCUGGGAAGUAAACCAGCAGAUGGAAGACCUCUCUCUCCCUCCCUCUCUCUCUGCAUCUCUGUAACUCUGCCUUUCAAAUAAAUAAAUUCUAAAAAAAUUCCCCUUGGUGUACAAUUAAUUUCCCAUGUAAAGUGCCAUAAACCGUUAUGACCUCCAGGUGGAGCAAGAAAAGCUCUAUCCUGAAGCUGCUGACUUAGGGACAUAUUUGGGUGGUAGCUUUCUAGUGUCAAGCCCUUUCACUUUGACAAGUACUGGCUAAACAUGUCCUCAUACAUCACCUGUGUGGUCAUCAUUAUAAUCUUAUGACAUAUAGGUUAUCUUACUAUGUUUUUGUAGAUGAUGGAAUCUAGAGUUAGGGAUAGUAAUUAAUUUGAAUUUUAGGAACUAUCAUUUUGAGUCUAUAGUUUGCCAGAGUCCAUGUUGUUAGUCACCAUGAUAUAUUCCACUUCAUUGUUAAGUUAUUGUGAUGAUUAUAAAAAUAUUCAUUAAAAUUUUAAUAGAGAGAAUGAGAACAAGAGCCAGAUAGAGAGAAGAGGAGGGAAGGGGAGACCAGGAAAGAUAAGACUUCGCUACCUGCAAAUUCAUUCCCCAAAUGCCUGUGACAGCUGAUGCCAAAGCCUGGUGCUGGGAGCUCAACUGAGGUACUCCAGUGUGGGAUAUAGACAUCUUAGUUGCUAAAUUGCUGCUCCAAAAAACAUUUUUCUGGUGAUAAGUUACAUAUAGUAAAACAUAGGAAAUUUGGGAAAGAGGGAAAAUCCCCAGUCUUGCCAGACGUGUAAUUUUGAACAUAAAUUCAUAUGUUUUUUUCAUUAAAUCAUAUUUGCUGGUGUUUUUAAAGACCUCUGCAAGGCACUGUGUGGGGGCAUUUGUAGAGGUGUAUUUUUGGUACUUUUUCUCAUGGAAGCCUUUUCUGUAUAAAAGUACAGUAUUCAAAGUAAGAUUUAAGGGCUGGGCAUUUGGCCUACUGGUUGGGACGCCUGACAUUGGAAUGCCUGGGUUUGAUUCCUGGUUCUGGCUCUGGCUCUGGCUCCUGAUAGUAGCUUCCCUUUAAUUCAGGCCCUGGAAGGCUGCAGUGAUGUCUCCAGUGUUUGGGUUCCUGACAUGGGAGACCUGGAUUGAGUUUCUGGCUCCUGGUGUUGGCUUUAGCUUCCACCCACUGACUGUUGUGGGCAUCUGUGGAGUAACAAAGCAGAUUGAAACUCUCAUUUCUGUCUCUAUCGUUUAUGGGGAAAAAAAGAUUUUUUAAAGAUAAGAUUUAAAUAAUACCUGGAAACAAUAGACGAGCGUGAAAAUACAGGACAUGUUACUUCUUAGCACUGCCAGUGAGGCCUGUGAGAGCUGUGGCAGGCUUCUCUCAGCUGACCUUCGUGUGUGCCUCAUAUAAAGGAAGGGACUAGCCUGCACACAAACCACGCACUCUGCUUUGGAGAGUGAUUGGUUCUGUAGAACCCUUUUUGGUGAUCAUUUGUUUGUCCUCUUGUAAAAUCAUGGAAUUCCUUUUUUUUUUUUUUUUAAAUAAACAAUAAGGCUUUCUUGUUUGAAGAAAAGCCUCUCUGUAGCUACCACAGCAGAUGGAAUGGCAUUUGUCCUUCUAAAUUUUUCAGUAGUAACACUACUAAAAUAGUACUACGCAUUAAUUAUUUUGAUUGAUAACCUCUCCCUGCUCCUUCCUCAUUGGGGAAAGCCAUAGUUAAAUUUCCCUCCUAGCUACUUCUAUUAUCUCUUUCACAAGAAGAAAACCUGAUCCUUCAAGGAAACUGUUCUUUUGAGCUGCAUUUUGUGUUUCCAGGCCACGGAACUGCACCUGCCUCAUGUUCUGUCUCUUACUAAACAGAUGUAAAUAAGGAGAAAAGGAUUGUAUUCCUUUUCAGAACUAGGAUGCCUUGGUGAUUUAACACCUGACCAUAAGUGUGGGUCUCUGUUUCUAUAAUCAAGUUCUAAGUUUGUGUUGAAGCAUUUAUUUUUUUUUCAAUAGUUAGCUGUGUCUUUCCUUUCUUGGUGUUAUUUGCUUUUAAAUAAAUGCUUCUGUGAUAGUUCUGAAUUGAACUUUUUUUUUCUUGAAAGUUGCUGUCUAUUUCGCAGAGACAUAUACCACAUUAAAAUGGAUUGUUGAUAAAGACACUUAUAAAUAAGUGCUUUGGUUAAAUGCUUUUCCAGCUGAAGAUGGCAACUUGCCCGUGGGUGGGCGGCAGUUAGCCAGUGUGUUUUUCGUGGCUGUUUUUUUUUUUUCCCCUUUGUUCAAGCAGAGUACAUCCUGCUACUUUAAAGGCAGAAAACUCCUCACUCCUUUUCUUCAUGGGAUUUUAAAGCAGUGUAGUUUGUAUGGUUUAACUAUGUAGACCAGAUGACCAGAAGUUGAUUGUGAUGUGGUCUCUUCAGUUUAAUAGUUUCUACUUAAACAACUUGAUUCCAGUGCUAUGUUAUUUGCAAUAACACUUCAUACUUAUUCUGACUUUCAUUAAUAUAUUGAAUGCAUUUUUAUGGUAUUUUUGGCAAAUAUCUUUCAAGGCAUGAAGUGAGAGGACAAAGAUGGGUGACUCUCUAGGUUCUAAUGAAGUCCUUUCAAAUCCUAGAGUAGUGAAGGGAUCAUGGUGCCUUUUUUCCUUCCUGUGAAAUGAAAAAAUGACACUAUCAAAAUUCAAACUUUACAUAAAGAAGCCCAGAGGGAUUCACAUGUUUCAGGGCUUCAAAAAGUACAUCGCAUAUUGAUAUGAGGAAACGGGAAGGGUAGCCUCUUAAUUUUUUUGGUGCUCCUUUUUGUUGGUUCCCCAAGCUUGUUGAAGGGAAUCAGAAUAGGCCACUCCAAAAUAGGCUACUUUGGUAUAAGGAUUGUUUUGAGGUGAAGGCAGUUAGCUCUCUGCCCUCUCUGUUUCUGUCUAAAAGGUAGAUGUAAAUUUCCAUAUGCAAAGGUGUUGCUUGCUAAUAAUGCUAUUUAUCAUACAUUUUCUAAUCAUCUUACCACAAUUUGCCCCUCAACCAAAGUGUAGAAGUCUACUUUCUUUGUCUGUCCUUUCCAUACUUCAUCACUCUUUGUUAAAAAGGUAUAUGAGCCCAAAUUCUAACCAUACCUUUGAGCUACUUAUCACUUGCUGUCUCCUGUGUGUAUGUAAACAGAUCCUGUUUGCUCAUGUUAAUCUGUCUUUUUUCAGUUUGAAAUCUGGGAGCCCAGAUUGAAUCUAAUAAGAUCGAUGAAGAGUCUUCUUUCCUAUAGUAUGCUUCAUCUUUUUCCUGUUAGGUAAACUCUGACUCUCCUCCAGAUUACCUAAAUGAAUGAAAAUAACACAUGAAUAAGAGAACAUACAUCAUAUAGGUGCUUUAAAAGUUUUUUUAAAUUCUAGAAUAAAUUAAAUGCUAAUGUCUUGCUCUUUUGUGUACUUCUGUGAUAAGUGAGUAGGUAGCAGAAUUUUUAUUGAGUAAAAAUCUUAUUUUCUUUCCUUCCAAGGUUUUAGAAAUCCUAGAGAACACAGUAUUUUGAGCAAGUUAUUUGCUUAUUGCCACAGUUCUUGAUGGGUUCCAGAAUUUAGGCUGGAGUGACAGUUUGUAUCUUCCAGUUAGGUUAGAGAUUUUCUUUAGCCAUGUAGUUGUUUGGCUUUAAAGCUAUAUCUCUUUUAUUUACCUAGUUGAAGAAGGCUUUUCGUCUUUGUUGAGGCCAGGGAGGUGUUUCUUGUCUGAGGGAAUCUGCAGGCAGUGUAUAGCCAUUAGUACUUGUAGGUGGGGCUCCAUUAGGGCAGCCCGAGGUGCUCAGGGUGCUGGUUUACACAACACAGGUUUCUGGAUUCCUGUAGUCACAAGGCUAACAUGAAAAGAUGGACCAGAUACACCAUUUUAGUCAUCUUGCUGAGGCUUAAUAUGUUACCUAAUGGGGCAUGAAGAGUUAAGAAAAAAUCAGGCCAAGUCUUUGGGCAAGACAUUUUUGUUUACUUUGGUUUGAAUACAUGCAUAUCCUGCUUUGUUCUAAAAAGGAUUUAAGGUGGUGCUUCUUGGCAGUUUUUAUUGUAUGAGUGAGGCUUAUUUAUGAAUACACUUACUGAUCUAAAGUUGAAAUGAACUGAAUCUGGCUCCCAAAUGCUGUGUACUUACUCCCAACAAUGCUGCCAUUGUACUUCAAGGUCUUGUUAUACCUUUAGGGUUUGAAUAUGUUCACUGUUCAUAACUCUUUACUCUUUGAUGUUAGAAUCAAUUUUUGGAUUCUGCCAAAGGCUUUUUGUGUGCCAAGUCUGGUGAAUAACCUGGAUAGGCAAUCUGGGGUGUUACAGCUUUUGCUUUAUUGUUUUUUGACUCACAUACUCUGAGAGCCCGGACCUUUGCAGGAUAAUGAAACCUCUUUUUUGAGCCACAGUUAACUCCUUGUUAUGUACACCAGACUUAAACAAUGCGGCUGGUUCACUCUUAGUUUUUGUGGGUGUUUCUAUGUUAGCAGUAUCAUUGAAGUCAAACAAGUUAACACUGUUCUGGCUUGUCAUUAAAAAGAUUUAUUAUUUAUUUGAAAGGCAGAGUUAUAUAUAUAGAGAUCUUCUGUCCACUGGUUCACUCCCCAAAUGAUGCAAUGGCCAGCGUGGGGCCAGGCUGAAGCCAGGAGCUCAGAACUUCUUCCAGGUCUUCCACUUGGGUGCAAGAGCCCAAGUACUCUGGCCAUCUUCUGCUGCUUUCCCAGGUGCGUUAGUAGGGAGCAGCAGGGACUUGAAUUGGCGCCUAUAUGGGAUGUUGGCGCUGCAGACAGCAGCUUAACCUGCUAUGCCAUUAUGCCAGCCCCCUGGCUUGUGAUUUUUUUUUUAAAGAAAGAUUUAUUUAUUUAUUUGAAAGAGUUACACACAGAGAAGGACAGGCAGAGAGAGAGGUCUUCCAUCCCCUGGUUCACUCCCCAGAUGGCUGCAAUGGCCGGGCUGUGCCUAUCCGAAGCCAGGAGCCAGGAGCUUCCUCCAAGUCUUCCCACGUGGGUGCAGGGGCCCAAGGACUUGGGCCACCUUCCACUGCCUUCCCAGGCAAUAGCAGAGAGCUGGAGCAGAAGUGGAGCAGCUGGGAUUCGAACCAGCUCCACAUGGGAUGCCAGCACUGCAGGCAGCGGCCUCACCCGCUACGCCACAGCACUGGCCCCUGGCUUGUGAUUUUGAUAUGUUUGUUUUGUUGGACUUGGUGCUACAGCAGAAUUUUCCACUGCAAAUUUUGUGUUUCAGGUCAUGAUGAGAACUUUUAUUACUAAUUCUACUAAUUUUCUAAAAAGGUUAUUUAUUUAUAUUUUUUCAGCUAUCCAUGAAAAACCCAAAACAGAACAGGUUCUAACUGCUCUUUGUUGCUUAAUAUAGAUAUUUGAAAAAGUUUUUAAUAACCUCCUAUAGUAAGCUGCCCCACCUCCAACUUUUUUGUGUUUUGAUUUUCCUGUGUAAUUAUUCAGUUGGAUGAUUCAAAUUACUACUUUAACUGCAUUUAAUAGAUGAGGACAACAGGCUUAUGGAAGAUGAGACUUAAUUUAAGGAAUCAGAGAUAAUAAGGAGUCAAGAUUCAAAUCCCAAUUGUCUGACUCUUAAUAAUAGAGUUUGAGUUUUUUUUUUCUUUCCUUUUUUUAAGUAAUAAUAUUGCCAUAUAUCAGCAUCAGUCACAUCUUCUUUAACUUUCUUAAGGUAAUAUAAAAUUAAGAGAUUUUCCUUUUUGUUUCCACAUAUCUCACAUAUGGACUUAAUAGCACACAAAAUUAAAUAUUAAUUUUUUAGUCAGUAUAGUUAUUUUUUUUUAACUUUAUACCAGCAUAAAAACAUUUGUCUCAGUGGGAGUGAAUUUUUGUUUUGAAUUUCAUUGUUGAACAUGAAAAUGUUAUGGUCGCUUUGUCCUGGACUAUUGGUUUGUUUCUAUAAAUCAGGACAGGGAAUCACUUUUCUUUUUAUAAUCAUGUUUUUCUUUUGAAAUAUUAGUUUAUCCUGGUCAUUUAUCCUAUUCAUACCCUGUAAGAUACGUAGCUAUAAAUAUUAAACUUAAGAGUUUGCUAUGUGAGUUAUUUAGUCUUCAUUGUAUUACUAUGUUUUUAAAAUUAGUUUGCACAUUUUAACUAGGUUGAAGCAUAAAGAAUUUCUUUAUUUGUUAAAUAUUUGAUUUAUGAUGGAAACCUCAUGUGUUUGUAAUUUGACUGAUUCUUUUUAUUUUGGAAAUGUUUGCAUUGUAUUCUAAGAACUUGUUAGGAUUGGACUAGUUUAGGCCAUCUGUCUUUUAAUUCAGCCCCAGAGAAAUGCGAUAUGAGAAUUCACUUACAUUCUAGUCAUGUGCUGUGUCCCCUGUGCAGUUGUGGCAGCUUCAUUACAGAGUCAGUAAAGCAUUGCAGAGGGGAAAGUUCCCAAAUAAAAACCAGAAAGAACACUGUUAUCACAGGUGUGAGCUUGUGUUGCAGCAAGGCCGUUGCCUGAUCAUCCUGAGGAGGUAGUUUCCUUUGCCUCUUUGUUCUUGCAGUGAGCACAUAGACUGUGUGGAUACUUGGUAAGUCUAGUAACCUCCAGCUCUUCCCACAUGUAGAUUCUCCCAACAUGUAUUCUUUAGCACCUGGCUUCGGAUCAGCGCAGCGCGCCGGCUGCAACAUGCUGGCCGUAGUGGCCACGUGGAGGGUGAACCAGCAGAAAAAGGAAGAUCUCUCUCUCUCUCUCUCUCUCUCUCACUGUCUAACUCUGCCUGUCAAAAAAAAUUUUUUUUUCCCCUUGGGGCCAGUGUUUUGGCAUAGUGGGUGACGCUGCCGCCUGCGACACAGGCAUCCCACAAGUACCAUUUAGUGUGCUGGCUGCUCCACUUCUGAUCUUGCACCCUGCUAGUGGCCUGGGAAAGCAGCAAAAGAUGGCCCAGGUUCUUGGACCCCUGCACCCAUGUGGGAGAUCCAGAAGUCCAUCACACAGUCCUUUAAUCUGUAAGCAUUGUUUUCUGCUGAGCUUUGGGAACUAUGUGUGUGGCAGAGAGCUUAGUGGGACACUUGCUGAUAAGAACUUGGGGCAUAGUUAUGAAAUGCUUCCCCAUCAGAAAACACACCUGGCCAUAGGAAAUUCUUGGUAAAAACCAGCCCCCUUUUCCCACUAUACCUAACAAUUCCUUAAGCUUUCCUGGGAGUACAGUCUGUUCCAGUGCUGUAAGAGGAAUACUAAGCUCAGAACAAAGGGAAAAUUUUUUUUAUUUAUUUAUUUGAAAGGCAGAGUUAGAGAGACAGAAGAGGAGAGACAGAUAUCUUCCAUCUGCUGGUUCACUCCCUAGAUGACUGCAGUGGUGGUGCUGGACUGGUCCAAAGCCAGGAUCCCAGAGCUUUUUCUAGGUCACCCACGAGGGUGCAAGGUCCCAAGCAUUUUGGCCAUCCUGAGCUGCUUUACCUGUCAUGCCACAGUGCCAGCCCCCACAUCAUAUUCUUAAUUGUAUGAUGCCAUUUUUGUGACCAGCAUUUCAGUAAACACUGUAUCAGUAUGAAUUAUGCUUCCUAUGUUGUGAAAGGGAUAUUUUAGCUCUCCUGUGCCUGUGUACAGAAUAAGAAAAGGUUACUUUAUCUAAUUUCUUAAAGUUCCUCUUUAAUCAAAAUGUGCUAAUUUUCUUUAGCUAAAAAUAGGUGGGUUAGCUGUAGUAUUUGAAGUUUACAUUUUUUUGGUAAGCCUAAAAAAGUGAGAAAAUGGGGGGGGAUUGGAGUUUCUCACAGUGUUAGACAUUGUUUAGGACACCUGUAUCCCAUGUUGGGGGCCUGGGUUCAAAUCCUGGCUCCAUUUCCAAUUUCAGUUUCCUGCUCAUGCACACCCUGGGAUGCAGCAGGUGAUGUGAGAUGCCUGGAUAGAGUUACUGGCUUCCGUGUUUGACCUGGCUCAACCCUGGUUAUUGUUGGCACUUUAGUGAAUUAGUGGAUGGAAGAUCUCCUUUUGCCACCCCCUACCCCUGUCUCUGCCUUUAGAACAAAUAAAAUAAUUUAUAAAAGUGAGAAGAUAUGGGACCAGCGACGUGGCUCACUUGGUUAAUAAUCCUCUGCCUGCAGCGCUGGCAUCCCAUGUGAGUGCUGGGUUCUAGUCCUGGUUGCUGCUCUUCCAGUCCAGUUCUCUGCUGUAGCCCGGGAGGGCAGUGGAGGAUGGUCCAAGUGCUUGGGCCCCUACACCCACAUGGGAGACCAGGAAGAAGCACCUGGCUCCUGGCUUUGGGUCGGUGCAGCACUGGUCAUGGUGGCCAUUUUGGGGGUGAACCAACGGAAGGAAGACCUUUGUCUCUCUCACUGUCUAUAACUCUGUCAAAAAAAAAAAAAAAAGUGAGAAGAUAAUGGAUUUUUCAUAAAGAAACCUUAAGAUGUAGCCCCUUAUAAUUAAGUUAUAUAGAAUGAAUUUGAGAAUAUGAUACACUAAAACUCAAAAAAAUUUUUUUUGACUGCCAGAGUUUUAGAGAGACAGAGAGAAAGGUCUUCCUUUGGUUGGUUCACCCCCCAAAUGGCUGCUACGGCCGGCGCUGCACCGAUCCGAAGCCAGGAGCCAGGUGCUUCCUCCUGGUCUCCCAUGCAGGUGCAGGGCCCAAGCACCUGGGCCAUCCUCCAGUGCCUUCCCGGGCCACAGCAGAGAGCUGGACUGGAAGAGGAGCAACCGGGAUGCUGGCGCCGCAGGCGGAGAAUUAGCCUAGUAAGUAAGUUUUAUAUAUUUGAAAGGCAGAGAGGGAGAAUGUGUGCACAUAUUCCCAUCUGCUGAUUCACUCCCAAAUUCUGAAACUGGGAGCAGGAACUUAAUUCAAGUUUCCCACAUGGGUGGCAGGAGCUUCGUUAUUUGGCUCAUCACUGCUGGCUUGCAAGGUAUGCAUUAGCUGAAAGCUGGAGUCCCGGAGCUGCAGCUGAGAGCUGAACCCAGGGACUCUGAUGUGGGACAUGGGAUGCCCUAACCAUUGUCUGAACUGCAAGCUAAAUACCUCUAAUGCUCACAUUUUAAAGAUUGGAAAACUGAGACCUAACAAAUUUCAGGAUCUUUCCUGAAGUUUAUAAAACUUAGCACAGGCUCAGUGUUUGACCCAGGGCUUAGGACACCAAGUCCAGUGCUGGGUGCAAUACUUUAUACUCUUCUUGAGGCUUUGGGAUUACUGGAAUUGUUGAGUGAAGAUACCUGGUGCUGAGACUGUGGAAGGAGGCACGAGAGCCAAAGGAAGGAGUAGGGAUUGGAGAGAAUGGCAAGCUGGAAGUAACCAUUUGUUUAAUAAUCUUUAUCAGCGACUUUUAUUGAUUGCCAUAUCAAGGGCAUUGUGUUUGAGGUCUUGAGAAUACAGAGAAGUCAGGCCUCACAUCAAGGGCUGCUAGCCAAGGCAGGGGAGAAGGGAAGAGGAACAUGAGAAGUGAUAGCUCUGAUCAGAUGACCUCUAAAAUUUCUUUUAACUCGAUAAGAAUCUGUGAUUCUUUAACAAGCCCUGGUCUCUGCACCACUCCCCAGCGUGUGUACCUGGUGAGCAUGAGGGAUAGCUAAGGUUUGUUUCAAAGUUGGAGCUGUGAUGGAAGAAAGUGUUAGUGUUAAUGUUAAAUGAAAGAAAGUGUUAUUUGUUCUACAAAUGGUAAAUUGCUGUUAAUGAUAGAGGUGACAUUUUAUCCAUAUAGCAGUUAUCUAUAUCUAUGCAGUUCACCAUUAUUAUUUCUUCUUCUUCUUCUUCUUCUUCUUCUUCUUCUUCUUCUUCUUCUUCGAGAGAGAGAGAGAGAGAGAGAGAGAGAGAGACAGAGACAGAGAGAAAGGUCUUCCUUUUGCCAUUGGUUCACCCUCCAAUGGCCGCCACGGCUGGCGCGCUGCACUGAUCUGAAGCCUGGAGCCAGGUGCUUCUCCCAAGCACUUGGGCCAUCCUCCACUGCCUUCCCUGGCCGCAGCAGAGAGGUGGCCUGGAAGAGGGGCAACGGAACAGAAUCUGGUGCCCCGACCAGGACUAGGCGCCGGCAUCAUUCUUUUUUUUUUUUUUUUUUUUUAAUAUGAAUGAGUUUAUUUAUUUAUUUAUUUUUUUAUCUGAUAUAGUUAAACAGUGAGAGAGAGAGAAAGGUCUUCCUUCCGUUGGUUAACCCCCCCCCCCCCCCCCCGGCCAAGUGGGUGCUACGGCUGGUGCUGUGCCUAUCCGAAGCCAGGAGCCAGGUGCUUCCUCCCGGUCUCCUAUGCGGGUGCAAGGCCCAAGCACUUGGGCCAUCCUCCACUGCCUUCCCGGGCCACAGCAGAGAGCUGGACUGGAAGAGGAGCAACCGGGACUAGAAUCAGCGCCCAUAUGGGAUGCCGGCGCUGCAGGCAGAGGAUUAAUCAAGUGAGCCACAGCGCUGGCCCUGGCAUCAUUAUUUCUUAUUCUUAAUUUAUGGGAAGUUAAUUCACCUUCAUGUCUUUCAUUUUAUGGCUUUAUUUUAUCUGAGAGACGGGAGUGGGAGAGGGAUGGAGGGAUGGGGUAUUUUCAUCCACUGGUUCACUCCCUAAAUGUCCCAAAUUGCCAAUACUGGGCCAGGCUAAAGCCAGGAGUUGGGUGCUCAAUCCAGGUUUUCCAUGUGGAUGGCAGAAAGCCAGCUUGUUGGGUCAUCCUUUGUGGCCUCCCAAGAAUAAACAUUAGCAGGGAGCCGGAGUCAGGAGCUGGAACCUGGGAUUGAACUGAUACUUUGUAGUGGGAUGUAGGCAUUUCAAAUGCUAGACUAAGUGCCGGCUGCUUUGCAUAUUUUUACAAAAAGUAAAACAAACCAAAAAAAGCAAACUUCUUCAUUCAGAACUUUUGACUUUCAUCUUAUAUAUGGGCUAUAUGAGAAAUGCUUCAUCUACAAGUAAGUAUGUAGAUAAAACAGCACAAUUAAAAAUGUUGAAAUGGAACGAAGGCUGUAGCUGAAAGGGCUGUAGGGACUAGAACCCGGUGUGCUGGCACCGCAAGGCGGAGGAUUAGCCUAGUGAGCUGCGGCGCCGGCCUUUACCUCUGUUUUAUCAUUGCUGAUCUUACAGUUUAAUGAAUUAACUUGCUGUUCCCUGUAUUAGCCUAUGCAUUUUUGUUUACUCUUUCAUCACUAGGCCAAUAUGCAUAUUCAAAAAAUACUUGUUGAGGCUGGUGUAGCAGCAUAGCAGGUAAUGCUUCAUCUGCAAGGCCAGCAUCCCAUAUGGGUGCCAAUUCGUGUCCCAGCUGCUCCACUUCUGACGCAGCUCCAUUGGGAAAUAGCAGAAGAUGGCUCAAGUGUUUGGGUCCCUGCCACUCAUGUGGAAGGCCUGGGUGAAGCUCCUGGCUUCAGCCUGGCCCAGCCCUGGCUGUUGUGGCCAUCUGGAGAAUAAACCAGUACAUGAAAGAUCUCUCUCUCUCUCUCCCUGUCCUGUCUCUCCUUCUCUCUGUAAUUCUGACUUUCAAAAAAAUAAAGCUUAAAAAAGAAAGGGAAAAUGUUUGUUAAAUAAAUAUGGUGUUAAAGAUAUCAACCUUGGAUAAAGCAGUAAAAAUUUUAAAAGGAAAUUGACAUUCUAUACAACACAUGAAAAUUAAAAUUAAUCUCCAUCCAGGUCUCGCACAUGGGUGGCAAGAGCACAAAUACAGGGUCUACCUUUUGCUGCUUUCCUAGGCACAUUAGCAGGGAGCUAGAGUGAUGCAAAGUACCCAGGAUGCAUACCUGCCCUUGGAUAUGUGAUGCCUGUGAUGCUGGUCUUGUGGAGGCAGCUUUUUUUUUUUUUUAAGAUUUAUUUAUUUAUUUGAAAGGCAGAGUUACAGAGAGGCAGAGGCAGAGAGAGAGAGGUCUUCAACUCACAGAUUCACUCCCCAGAUAGCCACAACGGCCAGAGCUACACUGAUCCGAAGUCAGGAGCCAGAAGCUUCUUCCAGGUCUCCCACGUGGGUGUAGGGGCCCAAGGACUUUGGCCAUCUUCUGCUGCUUUCCCAUCAGAGAGCUAUAUCAGAAGUGGAGCAGCUGGGACACGAACCAGCAUCCAAAUGGGAUGAUGGCAUUACAGGCACUGGCUUAACCUGGUACUCCACAGCACCGGCUCUGACUGUUAAAGAGCCAAACUUACACAUUAUUUGAUGUAUGACUGCAUAUUUACCUGUGUGAAAUGGGAACUUGGCUUCAGGGGCUGGUAUUGUGGUGCAGUGGAUUAAGCUGCUGCAUCCUAUGUUUUAGUGCUGUUUUGAGUCCUGGCUACUCCACUUCCAGUCCAGCUUUCUGCUAAUACAUCCUGGGAGGCAGCAGAUUAUACCUCAGGUUCUUGUCUCUCUGUUACUCUUCCUUUCAAGUAGAUGAAAAUAAAAAAAAUUAAAAAAAAAAAAAAACUCUUUGUACCUAAGCAGUUUCUUUCCUUCCUUUUCCCUUCCCCUUUCCUUUUCCCUCCCUCCCUUCCUUUCUUCCUUCCUUCCCCCUCUUUUAAUAAAAGUGAUAAACAUUCAAAUUAUCCUAAUUGUUGAAUGGGUAAAUAAACUGUAAUAUAUCCAUACAGUGGAAUUCCAUUAACCAAUAAAAAUAAAUGGCUGCAUUCACCUUAGCUUCUUGUUACUCAUAUGAAAUACUUUCAAGUAAGUUUGUAGAGAAAGUAAGUUUUGUUUAGCUUGUUUUUGAGGGUUCAAGGGCAUGGCACUGGCAUCUGCUCAAUACUGCUGUUGCCCUUGUUGCCCGAAGUCCCAAAGUAGCAUGUGGUAUCACAUGGGAAGACAUGGAGAGUGUGUGUGUGAGAGAGAGAUCUCUCUUGUAAAGCCACUGGGAUCUGGUCAUGGGUGCCACAACCCUAGUGACCUUUUCUAAUCCCAGUCAGUUCCUCUAGGCCUUGCCUUUCAGUAUCAUGCGGGUGAAAUAUGAAGUUUUGGGCUGGCACAGGAUUGGGGGUAAGAGUUGUCAUUCAGACCACAUCUAAACCAUAGCAACAGACAACAAAUGGAUGUGAUUGAAAUGCAGUGUGUAAGUGAAAGAAGCCAGACGCAAAUACAGACCUUCUAUUGCUUUAAGCAGAGGUUCAGUCCAGCUCUCUGCUAUGGCCUGGGAAAGCAGUAGAAGUGGCCCAAAUCCUUGGGUCCCUGCACCUGUGUGGGAGACCUGGAAGAAGCUCCUGGCUUUGGAUUGGUGCGGCUCUGGCCAUUGCCGCCAACUGGGGAGUGAACCAGCUGAUGAAAAACCUCUCUCUCUCUAUCUGUAAUUCUGACUUUCAAAUAAAUAAAAUAAAUCUUAAAAAAAAAAAAAAAAGGCAGAGGGAAAGGCGAGGGAAAGGCAAACCUAUAGGGACAAAAAACAGAUUGGCAGUUGUCACUUUAGGGGAUGGAUGACUGAAAGUCUCACGGGUGAUGGAACAAUUCUGUACUAUGAAUAGCUGUAUUUUGUAUUGUUAGUGGUGGUGAUUAUGUGACUGUCAAAACACACUCAAAUGAACACUGAAAAGGGUGAAUUUUACUGUAUAUAAUUUAUACCCUAAUUAAAAGUAAAGCAAAACAAGCCAAUUGAUAUAUGUGACUUAGUAACAAUUUUUUAAACUGCUAAAGCCUGAUAGGGCAUUUCAGAUUUGGGGAAACAUCUUGGCAGAAUAUGACAAUAAUUUCUGCAGGCCUUUGGUGCACCUGUGCUUAUAUGCCUAGGCUUUUGUAGAGGUUGAACAGCCCAGCAGGUGGACUGGGGGUGUGGACGUAUCUAGGCUCAGAUGGUCUCCAUCUCAGGGAGUCAAGUGUCUUGCAAUGUAUAUUAAGACACUGAUGUAAAUGUUCAAUCAGACAGCAUUAACUACAGCUGAUGAUAAAGGACAGCAUGGCAGGGACAGCAUACGCAUAUCCUGCCCUGCAUUUCCAACUCUUGUGUGACCACUGUGGUUUAUGGACUACAGGUCUGUAUCACGUUCUUUGCAAGUUUAUGGAACUAUGCAGAUCUAACGGUCUGUGGUAGACAGUUGUUUGCUGUUUAUAACACUUGUUUUUAUUUUUUAUUUCUGAAAUAAACUUGGACCACAUUAAUUUCAUUUUGAGAUUUUUAUCAAACAUGUGAGUUACUGAAAUAUUAUGUAGUGGGUGAUUGAUGGGAGGCUCACUAUACUGCCUCUCCUAAUACCUGUAGAGGCUUAAGCAUAGCAGUUAUGCUGGAGUUCUAAACUCAUUACAAGCAUUCCAAGAAGGCAGUUUGUAGUAGGAGGUCCUGAAACUAGGUUGCCUGGAUUUGUUUCUCAGUUCUGUCAGUCUGCCAGCUGUGUGAUGUUGGGUGAAGUUACUUGACCUCUCUGUUUUAGUUUUGCCUUCUGUGAAGGAACGGGCAAUAAUUACAGUAUCAAUUUUCCUG